CAGCCUCAUGUACCUGCAAUUUUGCCCCGGAAAAACAACCAAUUCUAACAACCAAAUUACUCCUAAGGCCAUAACUCCUUGUGACCAAAACACCCUUUCGAUUUAUUUCCACUUCCACAACAAACCAAGGGUAUCUUAGUCUUUGACUCUCAACGUCAAAAACGGUAAUCCCCUCCCUCUCAUUCAAUUGAACUGAUCCGAGAUUCACACUCAAAUUUGAAACAGGAGGAGAUUCCAACUGCAGAUAACACAAGCAAGCUUUCAUGGCUAGAGCAAGAAACACCAAGAAUCUAUUCUUCACGCUCACCCCAUCACCGGUCUUUCACUUAAUUUUUGCCUUCCCAUUAACUUCACUUCUCUACUCUCCCAGAAAGAGCCCAAGAAACCACACCAACGAGGAGUCUUUUUUUCUCUUACUCAUUGUUUCUUUCACUUUCUUGGGCACUUUCAUUCUCGGCUUCAUACCCAUUUCUUGAGAUUCAGUAUCUUGUUCUUUCAUCUCUCCCUCUUCUCCACUUUCAUUUCCUUCUACAUCAACUUCACACACGUUUUCAGCUUCCCUUUCUUCAGGGAAUUCUGCGAAAGUAAAGGGUGAGCCUGGACUAGCGAUGAGUGUGAUGGUUCCAUUACCAGCUCAAGGGGUUACUGGGAAUGUGUCGAACGAGGAGAGAGAGUUUUGGGAGCUGUUAGAGUUGAUGAGAUUUAGUA
rnacentral:misc_RNA from 1 species